CAGUAGCCACGGUAAUACGGAGGGUGCAAGCGUUAAUCGGAAUUACUGGGCGUAAAGCGUGCGUAGGCGGUUCGUUAAGUCUGUUGUGAAAGCCCCGGGCUCAACCUGGGAAUGGCAAUGGAUACUGGCGAGCUAGAGUGUGUCAGAGGAUGGUGGAAUUCCCGGUGUAGCGGUGAAAUGCGUAGAGAUCGGGAGGAACAUCAGUGGCGAAGGCGGCCAUCUGGGACAACACUGACGCUGAGGCACGAAAGCGUGGGGAGCAAACAGGAUUAGAUACCGCGUAGUCCCUGUCUCUUAUACA
rnacentral:rRNA from 1 species